rnacentral:lncRNA from 1 species
UUAAAUAAAUAAUAUUUAUUCUACAAUAGGGAUAAGCCUCCCUAGCGAUCAACGACUUUCCAGAUAAUAUAGAUUUUAACAUUAAUCAUAAAAAAAAUUUGAGUAAAUAGUUACCGUACAAUUCAAUCCUUCCACCAUACAAUGUCCCAAUUAAAUAGAAGACAUAAAAUUACUGUCAAGUCUUAUUUUAUUUAAUUAAACUUAUUUCGAUUCUUAAAUGCACAACUCCAAAUAAUGUAA